rnacentral:rRNA from 1 species
AUUGAACGCUGGCGGCAGGCCUAACACAUGCAAGUCGAGCGGGAACUUCGGUUCUAGCGGCGGACGGGUGAGUAAUGCGUAGGAAGCUACCCGACAGAGGGGGAUACCAGUUGGAAACGACUGUUAAUACCGCAUAAUGUCUACGGACCAAAGUGUGGGACCUUCGGGCCACAUGCUGUCGGAUGCGCCUACGUGGGAUUAGCUAGUUGGUGAGGUAAUGGCUCACCAAGGCGACGAUCCCUAGCUGGUUUGAGAGGAUGAUCAGCCACACUGGAACGGAGACACGGUCCAGACUCCUACGGGAGGCAGCAGUGGGGAAUAUUGGACAAUGGGCGAAAGCCUGAUCCAGCCAUGCCGCGUGUGUGAAGAAGGCCUUCGGGUUGUAAAGCACUUCCAGUAGGGAGGAAGAAUUGAGUGUUAAUAGUACUCAGCUUUGACGUUACCUACAGAAGAAGCACCGGCUAACUCUGUGCCAGCAGCCGCCGUAAUAC